rnacentral:rRNA from 1 species
AAUCUUCCGCAAUGGGCGAAAGCCUGACGGAGCAACGCCGCGUGAGUGAUGAUGGGUUUCGGCUCGUAAAUCUCUUUUAUUAGGGAAGAACAAAUGUGUAAGUAACUGUGCACAUCUUGACGGUACCUAAUCAGAAAGCCACGUCUAACUACGUGCCAGCAGCCGCGAUAAUACGUAGGUGGCAAGCGUUAUCCGGAAUUUUUGUGCGUAAAGCGCGCGUAGGCGGUUUCUUAAGACUGAUGUGAAAGCCCACGGCUCAACCGUGGAGGGUCAUUGGAAACUGGGAAACUUGAGUGCAGAAGAGGAAAGUGGAAUUCCAUGUGUAGCGGUGAAAUGCGCAGAGAUAUGGAGGAACACCAGUGGCGAAGGCGACUUUCUGGUCUGUAACUGACGCUGAUGUGCGAAAGCGUGGGGAUCAAACA